UCCUCGGUAGUAUAGUGGUGAGUAUUUCCGCCUGUCACGCGGGAGACCGGGGUUCAAUUCCCCGCCGGGGAG
rnacentral:tRNA from 1 species